rnacentral:tRNA from 1 species
UAUUUACAUUGUAGUUUAAGAAGAGCAAAGAUUUUUGGAAUCUUAAGUAUGGGUUUAAUUCCUUUUAAUGUAA